ACACAAACAACCAGAGAACAGCAGGG
rnacentral:piRNA from 1 species